GACGAACGCUGGCGGCGUGCUUAACACAUGCAAGUCGAACGGAAAGGCCCUGCUUUUGUGGGGUGCUCGAGUGGCGAACGGGUGAGUAACACGUGAGUAACCUGCCCUUGACUUUGGGAUAACUUCAGGAAACUGGGGCUAAUACCGGAUAGGAGCUCCUGCUGCAUGGUGGUGGUUGGAAAGUUUCGGCGGUUGGGGAUGGACUCGCGGCUUAUCAGCUUGUUGGUGGGGUAGUGGCUUACCAAGGCUUUGACGGGUAGCCGGCCUGAGAGGGUGACCGGCCACAUUGGGACUGAGCUACGGCCCAGACUCCUACGGGAGGCAGCAGUGGGGAAUAUUGCACAAUGGGCGGAAGCCUGAUGCAGCAACGCCGCGUGCGGGAUGACGGCCUUCGGGUUGUAAACCGCUUUCGCCUGUGACGAAGCGUGAGUGACGGUAAUGGGUAAAGAAGCACCGGCUAACUACGUG
rnacentral:rRNA from 1 species